rnacentral:lncRNA from 1 species
ACUUCCUAUGGAGCUUUCUGGCUUCAGGGUGGGCUCAAGAGCUGGGGAGUGGGAGCUUUGAACAGAUAAGCACAGUGGCUCCGGGGAUGUGAAGAGCUAUCUUAAUCCCACUCUGAACAGCCCUCCCAUGUAGACACAUGUGGACCCAGGACUGGGAUGACAGGCUUGUGAUGCUGGGCCCAGAUUUCUACAUGGAUGCCAGGGAUCAGAUCCUCACAGGAAUACAGUGCACGUGCAGAAUAUAUACCAUGUGCAUGUCCUGUGCCAGAAGAGCCUAGAAGAGGGCAUCUGAUCUCCUGGAACUGGCAACAGACACUUGUGAGACAUCAUGUGGGUGCUACGAACUGAACCUGGGUCCUCUGCAAGAGCAACAAGCAUUUUUAACCACUGAGCCUUCCAUCUUAUUCUCUCAAAGAAAUUAUUGUAUGU